GAGAAAGGUGGGGAAGGGCAGAGGGAGAGGGAGAGAGAGAAUUUUAAGCAGGUUCCAUGCCCAGGGUAAGAGCUCUGCGCAGGCUCUAUCUCAUUACUGUGAGAUCAUGACCUGAGCCAAACUCAAGAGUUGGAUGCUUAACUGACUGAGCCACUCAGGGGUCCCAAGGUUCUGUAUUUUAUUAAAGUUAUGUAUUCUAUGGUUUUCUUUGCUUCUGCCUUUUCUGUCAGGAAGAUCAGUUUAAAGAUCAAUGUAUUCUUUUUUAACAGCUUCAUUGAGGUACAAUUUAACAUAUAAAUCAGCCAUUUAAACUGUACAAUUCAAUGGUUUUUAGUAAAUUUAUAGAGUUGUGCGAUGAUCAUCACAACUCAAUUGUAGAAUAUUUUCAUUCCUCCAGCCCCAGGCAACCACUGAUCUACUUUCUGUCUCUGUAGAUUUGCCUAUUCUGGAAAUUUCAUACAAAUGCAAUCAUACAUUAUUGGCCAUUGUGAUUGGCUUCUUUAAUUAAGCAUAAUGUUUUCAAGUUUCAUCCAUGUUGUAGCAUUUAUCAGUUUUCACUUCUUUUUAUUGUUAAAUAAUAUUCCAUUGUAUGGACAUACCACAUUUUGUUUAUCCAUUUACCAGUUGUUGGGCAUUUGGAUUGUUUUCAGGUUUGGCUAUUAUGAAUGAUGCUGCUAUGAACAUUCAUGAACUAUUAUUUAUUGUGGAUAUAGAUUUUAUUUCCCUUGGGUAGAAAACUAAGAGUAGAAUUGUGAGCCGUUUAUGUUUAUGUUUACUUUUUAAGAAACUGCCCAACUGUUUCCAAAGUAGUGGUACCAUUUUACAUUUCCACCAACAAUGUAUGAGCAUUCUAGUUUUUCCAUGUCCUCACCAACUUUUGCUAUUGUCUGCCUUUUGGAUUAUAGUCUUUUUAGUGGAUGUGAGGUGAUAUGUCAUUGCAACUUUAAUUUUGAUUUCCCUAGUACCAAAUGAUAAGUAUCUUUUCAUGUGUUUGUUGCCUAUUUGUAUACCUUUUUUAGUGAAAUGUAUAUUCAGAAUUUUUCCCAUUUUUUUAAUUGGGUUGUUUGUUUUCUUAUCGUUGAAUUGUAAGCAUUCUUUAUAUAUUCUGGCUAUAAGUCUCUUAUCAGAUAUAUAAUUUGCAAAUAUUGUCUCCCAGUUUGUGCCUUGUCCUUUUAUUUUCUUUUUAAAAAAUUUUUUUAAUGUUUAUUUUUGAGAGAGAGAGAGAGAGAGAGACAGAGAGAGAGAGAGAGAGAGAGACAGAGAGACAGAGAGACAGAGAGAGCGUGAGCCGGGGAGGGGCAGAGAGAGGGGAAACAUAGAAUCCAAAGCAGGCUCCAGGGUCCCAGCUGUCAGCACAGAACCCGAUGCAUGCCUUGAACUCACAGACGACGAGAUCAUGACCUGAGUGGAAGUCGGACGCUUAACAGACUGAGCCACUCAGGUGCCCCUUAUAUUUCAUUUUCUUAAUGAUGUCUUUUUUUUUUUUUUAUAGUGAAUGGUGUCUUUUGAAGUGCAAAGCUUUUAAGGUUUUAUGAAGUCCAAUUUAUCAAUAUUUUCUUUUAUGGAUAGUGCUUUUGAUAUCAUACUAAGAAAUCUUUGUUUUCCUUAACCCAGGUCAUAAAGAUUCUAUCCUAUGUUUUCUUCUACAAGUUGUAUAGUUUUAAUUCUUUACUAUUUUGAAGGAGAGAUAGAGAGAGUGUGAGCAGGGGAGGGGCAGAGAUGGGGCAGAGAUAGAGAGGGAGAUACAGAAUCUGAAGCAGGCUCCACACUCUGAGCUGUCAGCACAAAGCCUGGCCCCAGGCUCGAACUCCUGGGCUGCAAGAUCAUGACCUGAGCUGAAGUCAGACACUUAACAGACUGAGCCACCCAAGCACCCCUUAAUGCUUACAUUUGGUAAGGGAUUUUUGGUCUAUGAUUCAUGUGGAGUUAAUUUUUGUGUAUGGUGUAAAGUAAGCGUCUAAAUCCUUUUCCUUAUGGGUAUCUAGUUGUCUCAGCAGCAUAUGUUGAAAAGAUGGCUCGUGUAAUUGUUGACUCUGCUUUUACUACAUUUGUGUCUUUAAAGAAAAGCUGAAGUAAGUAGGGCAUAGAGAAUUAAUGUAUUAAUGAAGAUGAAGAGAUUCUUCUGUGUUGAGGUUUUAAGCACUUACAUUAGAUAAGGAACAUCUGGUUGAUGUUUUAAAGAAUAACUCGAACCAUAAUUUCAUUUCGUUUCCUUCGUCUCCCCCAUUCCCUCCCCAGCUCUCCACUGAACAUCUGCUUCUCUUAUGUGAGGGGAAGUGAAAGAUUUAGGUCAGGCAUAAACACAAACUAUCUUUACUGUAUUGUUCCCUUUUAAGACCAAAAUACCCACCCUGCCGGGCCAGUUUAGCACUACAUUACCCUAUAUCAACAGAUCUACUGCAAUUUUUGGAAGCUGGCUUUCCCCAGGAAACAGAACUGCUAUUGCUACUUCUCGGUGUUAUGUAAUAAAUCUAGCGGGUCACUUUCAAGGAUGUGAACAGGAAUCGAGAAACACUGUCCUUCAAAUAUCACUUUUCUUUAUGUUAGCUUUAUUGAUGAAUUUCUCACAAGAAAUAUCUUAAGAGACAUCACUAGUGUUGUGAGCCCUCCGCAUCCAGAUCUCACAUGUAUCUAUAGUGCUGGCUAGAGGUAACCCCAAAUAAAAACAGGUUCCGUUGACUUCUGGCUUCACUGAUGCAAGGUAGCAAGACCUUGGGGAAGUCUAUCUCCCCAAAAUACCAUCCAUUUUGCUAUCUUAAAUCUUUGCAAAGAACAGGAUGAUUACAUUUUCCUCUCUGGGAAUUUACUGAGUUCUUCUGUUUUAUGGCACUGACCUAGCAGCUCUAAUUGGGGCACUCUUCUACCCGUGGCUUUGCUAAAAAUCCCUCACAAUCAGGACUGCAGUGUAAUAAUAAUAAUAAUAAUAAUGAUAAUAAUAAUAAUAUAAUGCAAUAGCUCAUAUGUAUAUAGCACUUAUUAUGCACCAGACAUUCUUUUCUUGCCUUACAUAUAUUAACUCAUUUAAUUGUUCCCUGGAGGCAUACAUUAAAGCUGGCAUUGCUGGAGGGUAUGAGUAUAGAAGCAAUUUAGUUAGUGUUUGGAGUAUGAUAAACUUCCAUAAAAUAGAAGGAAAGCCUUGAGAUGAUGCUUCAGGGAUAAAAUUGAACAGCCUGGUCCUUUUUGGGGUCUCAUAAUUUUUUCAGCUGUAGAACUCAUUUGAGGGAAAAGUAACAGGUAGGAAACAUUGGUUUUCAUCACCUCGCUUUGGUUAGACAUAUGCUUUGGAUAUUCUUCCUCAAGCACCUUCAGAAUCCCCAUCCACUUCCAUGUCUAAGCACUCACUUCAGUAGCCUGGCUCUGGGCCACUCUAGGGCUAUCCAGCACUUCUCAUCGUCAGGCUGGGUCCCUGUUGGUGCUUUCCUGUCCUGUGUUUCAUUGUGGCAGCCGUUUGCUGGGAAGGGGCAGUUUUGCCAACAAGGAGGAGGUCUUUUAAAAUUCUAGCUCACUGUUGAUCAGAACCAGGAAUUUCCCUUAGUUUAAGAUUUAGUUAGCAGACAGGGGCUCCUGGGUGGCUCUGUUGGCUGAGUGUUCGACUCUUGAUCUCAGCUCAGGUCUUAAUCUCACAAUUUAGUUAGUACACAAACAUUCUGGCUUUCUCUAAGCUUUUAGCCAGUUUUUUACAUUUUAGUAGAAGAUUCAGGAACACGUUUCUUGGGAGGAAAGAAAAGAAGAGGAGAGAUUCUGGGGGCACAGUGUGUCUGAAACAGCAAGGGGGAACAAAGAAGGGAAGAAAAGUUGGAGAGCCUCUGUGUACCUCAAAAUUUUGCUGAGGGCCUUGCCCUGACAGCAGGGUGCAGAUAGGUCCUUCAUUGCUGUCCCCCAAAUCUCACCAGCACUAUAACAGUGGCCUUCUAUGAGUUGUGCACUCACCUUUGUCAUCUGACACAGGGGAAUGACUCAAAUGGUUGGAACGUCCAGACAGGUAAGAAAGGAGACAGGUUAUUACAGAUGGGGGUGGGGAACUUGUUUUGGACAGGUAGUUCCUGGUGGCAUCAGGGAAAACAUGCCUUAGGUGGCUCUCUGUGACUGAUACAUUGACUGAUCCUGCUAAGUCAGGAACAUGACCAAGAUGGCCUUAUUUUCCUCAGCUUGACUAAACUUUAGACAGGUUUCUUAGCGACAGUAGGUCACUGACCUCCCUUGUCUUAGAGCAUUUACUUUAGAAAACUUACAAUUGUAAAUUCUUUAUUUGCCCAUCUGAGAUGUAAAUCUUUUCCUAGCCGCUUGCCCCUUUUACAACUGAGAACCAUCUGUUUCAGGGACCUGGGAGACAUCUUUUGAAAUGUUAUCAUCAAGAAAGGUAGCAUCCGGGUCUCCCAGUUUCUGUAGGAGGGUAGGAACCUAGACUGGUGUCAGCAAACACAGAUGGCCUAGUCACAUUGACCAAACUAAUGUCCUCCAGUACUUUUCAACUAGCUAACCUCAACCCUUAGAAACCUUCCUGCUUUUUUUGUUUCUAGGGAAGUUAAGUUCUCUCUCCCCUUGAAGAAGACUUGAAUUAUGUCUUCUUCUUUUUCAGCCAAACUCUGUUCUGUGAAAUUUUUCUUUGACAUACAGACACUUGCACAAUAUUUUAUCUAAACUGACUCUCAGUGUGUUUGGAAAGCCAUUAAACAAGAAGACAGGAUAACUUUAUCAUGGUGCACUGUUUUCUGAACUCAUUAUUGGGGGUCUGACACCUACAGCAUUUCAUAUGCUAUUAAUCACCUCCUCCAAUAAACCCAAAACCCAAACCAGAAUGCUUCUCAUAUUUCUUUGCCAUAAGAUACCUUAUAUAUACACACGUAUGAAAAGUAUAUAUGCACAAUGUUAUAUAGACAGACACACACAAUUAGUAAUAGCUAUCAUUUUUUUGUAGGUCUACUGUGUACUUUGUAUACAUACACAUAGUACUUCAUACAUAUUUCCUCAUUUGAUCCUUACAGCAUUUCUAUGAAUCAGGUAUCAUUUAUCUCAAGAUGAGGAAGCCAAGGCUGAGAGAGUGAAGCGACUACUUCCAAUUGCUGUCAGAAGUGGGAUCUGAACCCAGUCAAUCAGUCUACAAAUCAUGAUAUCAGGUUUCCAAUUGUCUUUCAAAGAUGCAUUGAGCUACCUUGUUAGGAUUCUGGUCCAGAGGGAAACCUGUAUUUCCAGAAGGAAUUAAGGAAGAACUUCUGUCAAACUGUCCCUUCAUCCCUCCUCCCAGAAGCAUUAUAGAAGAUUUUACUAUUCUUUAGAGAACUUCAUCUCAAAGUGUGUCCCAACUCUCACCUGUCACCUGUAAUUUCUGCUUUGGGGUCUAGCCCCAAAUCUUGAGGAAGACAUUUUUUUUUUUUUCAGUUAAUUCAUUUUUGAGAGAGAGACAGAGUGUGAGCAGGGGAGGGGCAGAGAGAGAGGAAGACACGGAAUCGGAAGCAGGAUCCAGGCUCUGAGCUGUCAGCCCAGAGCCCCACAUGGGGCUCAAACCCAAGAACCAUGAGAUCAUGCUCUGAGCCCAAGUCAUCUGCUUAACUGACUGAGGCACCCAUAUGCCUCUUGAGGCAGCCAUUCUGAUCUUCAUUUCAGGGUUGCUCUGACAAGGAUAGUUGGGGAUCUGCCCUGGUGCUUCCAGCACAUAGGAUAUAUUCCUUCAGUGGACAGAGAAGAUGGUAGCAACUUCCUCUUUGAGUCAUGCAUAUUGUCUGUCAUUCUGUCAACCAUCUGUCCUAUUAGCCAUGCUUGGGUGAUGAAUAGAACUCUAUGUACUGUGCGGUUACUAGGUUACAGCUUGUGACAUCAGAAUGCACAAUGAACAGAGCAGUAGAAAGUAGACAGCAAUGGUUUCUACUUAUUUCAAAAUAUCCAUGAUGCCAGAGAAAUACAUCCCUGUUAAAAAAACCUAGGUCUUUGUAGCUCCCUUUCCUUCUUUGACAUGGAAUGAAAGAGAUCUUUCCAGAACUGAUCAACGUCAGUAACUUUUAUAUCAGAGUCUGUGCUUAAAAGUAUCGCAAACAAAACUUCAGAACAAUCACACUACCUAGAAAAAGUAUUUCUAGGACUCUGAGAUAGUCCUUGACCUGAGGAAGGUGGCAAGUCUUGUGUUUACUAUGGGGCCUACUCCCUCUCCUAUGGAACACAGGUUUUAUUCUGUGAAAGCUAUGGGAAGCUCACCGUAGGUUGUGUACCUGAGCCACUUAGAUUCAAGGCAGCAGUGGUGAGGUCACUAAAGUGACCUUCUCCUUUCUCCCAGAUGGAGGGGCUCCUUCUCAUGAGGCCUCUAACACAUACAGCUCUACAUAUACAUAAAAACUUCACUUCCAUUUAUUACUGGAUAGAUUUUUUUCAGUGUUGAUGAGAUGUUUUGUAGAAAUCAACAUAUACUGUCCAGAUAAGGAAAGUUUAAAUGAUUUAAAAUAAUAAUGUUUCCUAAUUAUAAGCACUUGUGGGAAAUUUGGAAAGUACAGAAAAGAAAAAAAAAAUUACAAUUGCAUCAACCCAGAAGCAACCAUCACUAACAGGUUUUUUUGUUUUCCUUUUGGUCUUUAAUUUUGUAGCUCUGUUUUUUUUUUUUUUUCUUUUUCUUUUUCUUUAUUAUUAUUUAUUUUUGAGAGAGAGAGAGAGAGACAGACAGACAGAGACUGUGUGUGUUUGGGGGGCGGGGGGAGAGGGAGACACAGAAUCCGAAGCAGGCUCCAGGAUCCCAGCUGUCAGCACAGAGCCCCAUGUGAGGCUCAAACUCAACCAAUCGCGAGACCAUGACCUGAACCGCGAGAUCAUGAUCUGAGCCGAAGUCUGCGGCGCUUAACAGACUGAGCCACGCAGGCGCCCAUCGGUUUGUUGUUUUCAAGUGAAGACGCUCCUGCCCAAAAGGAACUUACAACUUUAAGGGCAACACAAAUGAGAAAAAUGAAGACAAAAUAAGACUGAAAACCAGAGAACAUGAUGAUAAUGAUGAUGGGCUCAUUGAUUUCUCCAAAGUGUCUCUGAGACACAUACUGCCUGGAAUCAGUCACUUCCUGCCUUGUCUGCCACCCAUUGUGUAGCCACAAGUAAGUUACUUUGCCUCUCUACUGUUGUUUUCUCUUUUGUGAAAAAGGGAAAAUAGGUUGUUGUAUUAAAUGAGAAAAUCCACCUAACAUAUUUAAUACAGCCCCUGGUGCAUAAUAAGCACUCAAGAAAUGUUGGGCAUCAUUAGAAAUGGUGUAAGUCAGUAGCUAAGAGAGCAAGCCCUGGUCAGACUGCCUUGCCAUUCUUGUGGUUUUUCUACUUGCUUAUAGGAUCAAAUCAUCAACAAUGACCUCUAUUUAAUUAUAGUUUUUGUUUUUGAAUUGCUUUAUGAUAAUCAUGAAUUUAUCAAAGUAGACAUUCACAAAGUGCUUCUGGCAAGUCCAGAGUUUUCUAAUGAGGACUGUUGCAUCAUAAAAGGCUCAUAGAGAGAAGUAUUUACUAUUAAUGAAGCCAUGUGCAUUUUCACCAUUCAGAUGGCAAAACCAAAAAAACAAUUCUUUCCCUUAGAAAGUGGAAUGUUGGAUAUGUUUGGGGCCCAUUACAACUUGACCUUUCAGCGCUCAGAGCUGUCCUAUGGUGGGUAGGUGGAGAAAAGAAUCAGAGAGAAUCUGAAUAUAUGUUAUACUCUUUGACAUUUAGGGAAAAGUCAAGAACAUUUCACCCAGUAUGUAGUGUUUGGCAUGGGAUUAGGAUAAUUUGUAAACAUAUACAUUUUAAAAUCUAAUAUUUAUUGUUUUUAUAUUACAUAAUUAUGUUUAUUUUUGAAACUUUAGAAAGCAGGAAUAAGAGAAAGUACAAAUCUUAACAUUUUAAUGCACUUCCUUCCAAGCUUUUUAAUAUAGUUAUAUCUGAAUAUAUAUUUAUAGUUUUAAUAUGGAUCUUUUAGUUUCUAAAUUCCUAAAGAACCAGUAAGUCAACUUACUUGGGUUUGCUGGACAUUGGUGUUUUUCAGAAGACCUCGUUAUGAACGUUGGAAGAGCCUAGUGGUUGAAAAUUACAGCUGGUUCCUUUUGAGUUCUUGUGGGAUAGGAUCCUGCUACUCAAGGUCUGGGAACCAGUAGUAUCAGCAUCACCUGGGAGCAUAUUAAAAAUCAACAAUUGUUGGUCCCACUUCAGAUCUAGUAAAUCCCACAUGCAUUUUUAAAAUUCUUAUUUAUUUAUUUAUUUGUUGAGCAUGCACAAGCAGGAGAGGGGCAGAGGGAGAGAGAGAAUCCCAAGCAGGCUCCGCACUGUCAGCACAGAGCCCUAUGUGAGAUCAUGAUCUGGGAGGAAAUCAAGAGCCACCUGAGCCACCCAGGUGUCUCUCCACUCCCCCCCUCCCGCAACUGCAUUUUAAUAUGAUUUCUGGGUGAUUUGUAUGCACAUUAAAUUUCGAGUAACACUACUGUAGGAGAAACUAGACAAAGUAUUGUUUCUCUUAUAAGACAGUUGUUGAAGGGCUGAUUAGUCCCUAGUCCCAGAACAACAUCCUUUCCUGCCAAGCAAUCCAUUGCUUCCUGGGGUCUCACUUCCACACAGGCAUUGUUGGGACAAGUCUGGUUAGAGAUCCACCAAACGGCCUGCAGGAAAAAGUUUUGCUAGGCACCCCCAGCCAGGAGAUGAAAGACACAAAAUAAAUCUGGGACAUGCCAACAGGCCAAUAAAACUCCAUAAAUCUAAAGUCUGUGUUGUUUAGCAUCUUAUUACUUUAUCACAGCACUUUUCCUGGGCUCACUGUCGAAUGACCAGGAAAUGGGUUUCGACCACUUGAAAAACCCAGCAGUAAAGUUUAUCAAUAGCAUCUUCGUCGGCAGGGGUCUAUUGACUUGGAGAACUGAGGCUGACCUAAAGAACAAACCGAAAAGAAACACUCCAAAACAACAUAUCUGGAAGUAGAGCAGCUUUCUAGACGGGAGCAAACAUGUACUUUUUCACACCCUCAUAUCCUUCAUUUUCUGGAAUAGGAAUGUGUCUAUCUACAGAGCAGGGUUGUGGCCAUUUCCUGGUGAGCAUGACUAAUAAUAAUAGCCUACAUUUGACAGCAUUUUAUGAUUCACAAAAUACUAUAGCAGUGCUUCCCAAAUUUAAUGUGCAUGUAAAUCACCUGCAGAUCUUGUUAAAAUGAGGAUAUAAUUGAGUAGUUCUGAGUGGGGCCCGACUUGUCUUUCUAAUAAAUGCACAGGUGGUGCUCAUACUGCUGGUCCACAAACCUUAUAUUGAGAAGCAGGUUGUUACCAUGAUUUCCUCUUGAGAUUCCCAGAAAUUCUGUGAGGUAGGCGGAGCCGGGAUUUUUUCCCCUUUCCCCAUGAGAAUAUUGGUCCUAUGAGGGUAAGGAUCUGCUGACUGCUAUAUCCCAAGUAACUAUAAUAGCAGGCACUCAAUAAAUUUUUGUUGGAUGAACAAAUGAUUGCAUCUUAAUCUUAUAGAGGAAUUUGAGUAAUGCUUUAACCAAAGUCACAGUCUGAUAAUUCAAAGCUGGCAUUUGAACCUAAGAAACCACUUAAAUCUAAGUUCGGUACCAGAUGAAUCUACUUGGAUGGUUUGACUUCCUUCCUUCCUUCCUUCCUUCCUUCCCUCCCCUCUUUCUUCUUUUUCCUCUUCCUCUUCCUCCUCCUUCUUUGGUAAAGGUAAAUUUUUUUGAAGAGACCUUUUAAAUUGAAGUAUAAUAUAGGAAAAUGGCCCAAACAUCAGCAUAGACUUGACUAUCUUUUACUGUGGGAACAUACACCUAGAGCCACCUCUCAGAUCAUAGAAUUAUCAGCUCCCCGGACACCUGUCUUGUGCCCACUCCCAGUGAUUAUUCUCUCCUUCAGACAUUGGUGCUGUUAUGACUUUUAUCAUCAUAAAAUAGUUUUGAACUUGAUAGAAGUAGAAUUUUAUAAUAUAUACUCUUCAGUGUACACCUUCAGUGUUAAUUUUGUGUUCCUGAAUAUAGCAGUAAUUUGCUCAUUUUCACUUUAUAGUAUUUCAUUGUGUAUACUGUGCAUAUUCCAUGAACAUACCACAAUUUAUCGUAUGUCUCACUGUUGAUGAGCUUUAGAGUUGAUUCCAGUUUUUGGCUAAUAUGAAUAGUGCUGCCUUGGACAUCUUGUACCUGACUUUUGGUGAGCAUAAGUACUUACUUCUUUUGGAUAUGUACUAGACAUGGAGUAUUUAUCAUUUGGGGUAUAUUCAGUUCCUAUAGAUAUUGCUAGCCAAACAUCUUCCAAAGUGGUUGUAUUAAUUCUUUUGUCUUUGGUUGUAAUGUUGAUUACAUUCCCUGGGUAAUCAUUAAAAUUUUAUUUUUCCUUUUUUUUUUUUUUUAAAUUUUUUUUUCAACGUUUUUUAUUUAUUUUUGGGACAGAGAGAGACAGAGCAUGAACGGGGGAGGGGGAGAGAGAGAGGGAGACACAGAAUCGGAAACAGGCUCCAGGCUCCGAGCCAUCAGCCCAGAGCCUGACGCGGGGCUCGAACUCACAGACCGCGAGAUCGUGACCUGGCUGAAGUCGGACGCUUAACCGACUGCGCCACCCAGGUGCCCCUUAUUUUCCCUUUUGCUGCAUGAAGAGUUAUGAUGAGUUUUAUAACUAUGACUUUUGGAUCAGGAUGGUGGAUUGAACACAGAUAUUUAUUUUUCUUCCUUCAAAAACCUCAUAAAAUGACAAUAAAUAGAUUUUUUUGGAGAAAGGUAUAAAUCUAAAGGGAUAUAAAAAAAGAGAGGGGAAAUAAUAUCAACACAAUUUGAGAUACUUAAGAAAGCUGAAUCCUAUGCCAGGCAGAAGCUGAAAAGUAAACUGAUUUACAGUCCAGACUCCCUAAAAGCUUGAGGAAUUGGCACACAAGUACUUCUGGAAGAAGGGAGGUAGUGCUAAAAAGGAUAGUACUGAUUUAAAGUCUACUUAAAAAGCAGUUAGAUUCCCCUCCCCCAAUCCAUAGACUCAGAAUUGUUUUCUACCCCUAACCACCUGGAGGAAGUCUGAGAAAAUUAUCACUGGAGAGUGUAAAACAGAGGGUCCCUGCACUAGGAUUUGUCAGACACAAUUGUGGGUGGAAGUUUGAUGUUGAAAACAUAGGGAUUAAAUAUAUCCUUAAUACUGGGAAAAUAUCUUCUAGAUAGGAGACUGGAAGAUCCUUCUCUAGGAACUCUACUAGUCCAAGAAGAAAGAAGUAAUGAUACUGAUAUUUGGGAAGGAAGAUCUCCAAGGAAAUGGUCCAGCUAGAUCAAUAGGUACAGUGAAGCCCAUGGUAGUCAAACACCAACCACAGGCUCAGAACUUCCUAUCGGCUCUUUUAGGAUCCAACUCAAUAUGUGUAGGCAAGCAAGGUCACCAGCUAGCUGAGAUUAAGAUUUCAGCAUAAAACAUAGAGAUCGAAACUAACACAGAAAAAAACUAACAGAAAAAAAGUAACCUGGAAGAAAAGAAGAUUUGUUAGGGGAAAGACUAUUUUUUUUUUUAAAUUUAUUAUUUACUUUUAAAAUGUUUAUUCAUUUGGAGAGAAAGAGAGAGAGAGUGAGAGAGAGAAAGAAAGAAAGAGAGCAUGACCAGGGGAGGGGCAGAGAGAGGGGGAGAGAAUUUCCAAAGUGUGCUCUGAGACAACAGCAGCUAACCUGAUGUGGGGCUCCAACUCACAAACUGCGAGAUCAUGACCUGAGCUAAAGUUGGAUGCUCAACAGACUGAGCCACCCAGGUGCCUCAAGACUUUUUUUUUUUUUAAGUUUAUUUAUUUAUUUGAGAGAGAGAGAGAGAGAGAGAGAGCACGAGCAGGGGAGGGGCAGUGAGGGAGAGAGAGAAUACCAAGCAGGCUUCAUGCUGUAAGCACAGAGCCUGACACAGGGCUUGAUCUCACAAACUGUGUGCCCAUGACCUGAGCCAAAAUUAAGAGUUGAGUGCUUAACCAACUGAGCUAUCCAUGUGCCCCAGGGGAAAUACAAUUUAAAAAAAAAUCAUCAUUAAUAUUCUCAGAGAGACAUAAAAUGUUAUUGCAUUCAUGAAAUAAGAACAGGUUGCUUUUAAAAAAAGGACAAUUGGGAACACUUAGAAAUUAAGAAUAUGAUAACAGAAAUGAAAAGAGGGAAGAUAAACAACACAGUGGGAAGAUAAAAUUGAGAUAUCUACAAGUUGAGCUAAAAGGAAAAGAGGUGGAAAAGAGAAGAGAAAAUAUAAUAAAAUUAGAGGACCAGAACAUGGGAUCCAAUACCUUUAUAGUAGGAGUUCCAAAAGGAGACAAAAAAAGAGGGAAAAUAGAAAGGAGGAAUUCAUUACCUAAAUAAAGAAACUUUUCUAGAACUUAAGUUUAGAGUUUCUAGGUUGAAAGGAUCCAUAGAUUGCCCAACAGAACGGAUUAAAAAUAGACUCAUUCUAGAGUACAUUAUUGUAUUAACUUCACAAUACUGGUGAAAUCAGGAAGUUCUACAAACUUCCGUAAAUUAAAACAAAACAAAACAAGUUGCAUACAAAAUACGUAUAUAUAAAAAAAAUCAAUACACCUAUGCGUUUUUCAGCAACAACAACAACAACAGAGGCUAGAAUAUAAUGGAACAGUACUUUCAAAUUUUUGAGGAAAAAUGAUUCCUAACCUAGAAUUCUACACUCAGAUUCAUAAGUAAAUAUGAGAAUAAAAUUUAAAAAAUUCAGAUACUCAAGGUCUGAAAAAAAUUUUAUCUCCCAUGAGCUCUUUCACAUAGAUUUCCUACUGAAUAUGAUCCAUUAAAAUGAGGGAGUAAACUAAGAAGGAGAAAGGAACAGGAGAUAAAGAACCGGGGAUUUAAUAAAAGAGAGUGUAAAUUCUUU